rnacentral:rRNA from 1 species
AUGGAACAAAACAAGGGACCACACCCACAGAAAGCAAGCAGCAGACUUUGUAGCAUAUGCAAGGAGUAUGAACCACACAAUGCAAGAACAUGCCCGAAGUGCGCAGAUGCUGAAAAGACAAGCAAAAAUCUAGAGAAGAAACAGAAAGCAAAACCUAGAGCCAGCAAUAAGAAAGUGGUGGAAGAUGAAGAGGAAGACGAAGAUGAAGACACCAUCGGAGAAGAGGAAGACGAAGAGGAAGAAAAAAAGGAUGAUGAAGAAGAAGAGGACGAUGAAGAGGAAGAUGAAGAGGAAGAGGUACAUGUCAAGCAAAAACCACUACAACCAAAGCCUAGGAGGAGCGCAAGGCUAAUGAACAGUUAG